GCAGGCAGCCAUAUCACCCUGUAGCCCAAGACUGGUUGCCCACUGAAGCUAAGCAGGGCUGAGCCUGGUCAGUACCUGGAUGGGAGACCUCCUGGGAAAACUAGGUUGCUGCUGGAA
rnacentral:rRNA from 1 species